rnacentral:rRNA from 1 species
GUGGGGGAUAUUGCACAAUGGAGGAAACUCUGAUGCAGCGACGCCGCGUGAGUGAAGAAGUAUUUCGGUAUGUAAAGCUCUAUCAGCAGGGAAGAAAAUGACGGUACCUGACUAAGAAGCCCCGGCUAACUACGUGCCAGCAGCCGCGGUAAUACGUAGGGGGCAAGCGUUAUCCGGAUUUACUGGGUGUAAAGGGAGCGUAGACGGCGACGCAAGUCUGAAGUGAAAUACCCGGGCUCAACCUGGGAACUGCUUUGGAAACUGUGUUGCUAGAGUGCUGGAGAGGUAAGCGGAAUUCCUAGUGUAGCGGUGAAAUGCGUAGAUAUUAGGAAGAACACCAGUGGCGAAGGCGGCUUACUGGACAGUAACUGACGUUGAGGCUCGAAAGCGUGGGGAGCAA